GAUGAACGCUGGCGGCGUGCCUAAUACAUGCAAGUCGAGCGAACAGACGAGGAGCUUGCUCCUCUGACGUUAGCGGCGGACGGGUGAGUAACACGUGGAUAACCUACCUAUAAGACUGGGAUAACUUCGGGAAACCGGAGCUAUUACCGGAUAAUAUAUUGAACCGCAUGGUUCAAUAGUGAAAGACGGUUUUGCUGUCACUUAUAGAUGGAUCCGCGCCGCAUUAGCUAGUUGGUAAGGUAACGGCUUACCAAGGCAACGAUGCGUAGCCGACCUGAGAGGGUGAUCGGGCACACUGGAACUGAGACACGGUCCAGACUCCUACGGGAGGCAGCAGUAGGGAAUCUUACGCAAGGGGCGAAAGCCUGACGGAGCAACGCCGCGGGAGUGAUGAAGGUCUUCGGAUCGUAAAACUCUGUUAUUAGGGAAGUACAAAUGUGUAAGUAACUAUGCACGACUUGACGGUACCUAAUCAGAAAGCCACGGCUAACUACGUG
rnacentral:rRNA from 1 species